rnacentral:rRNA from 1 species
UCAGCGUACGCGGCAAAAUUCAUGGGACGAGAAGUGGCACCAUAUGCGGAGUUUGUUUGGAAACAGAAGGCACUCCUCCAGUGUCGCUUCUUCGCUUGGUUGGCCAUGCGAAAUCGCUGUUGGACCUCGGACCGUUUGGUGAGACGAGGGCUACCACACCAAGCAGCGUGCCCCUUCUGCAAUCAGCAGGGCGAGACGAUCGACCACAUCCUGCUCACCUGCGUCUUUGCACGAAUGAUAUGGCUAUGGACCUGGAACGCUCUAGGAGACACUUCACAGGCUCCGGCGGCGGAGGAUACCUUGGUGGACUAG